rnacentral:rRNA from 1 species
UACGUAGGGGGCAAGCGUUGUCCGGAUUUAUUGGGCGUAAAGAGCGUGUAGGCGGUUUGGUAGGUCCGCUGUGAAAACUCGAGGCUCAACCUCGAGACGCCGGUGGAAACCAUCAGACUAGAGUCCGGAAGAGGAGAGUGGAAUUCCUGGUGUAGCGGUGAAAUGCGCAGAUAUCAGGAGGAACACCGGUGGCGAAGGCGGUUCUCUGGGCCUGUACUGACGCUGAGGAGCGAAAGCGUGGGGGGCGAGCAGG